rnacentral:ncRNA from 1 species
GACUGUGAAGCGCUAACGCCAGUUUAGUGUGGAGUCGUCGUUGAAAUACCAGUCUGGUCGUGCUGGAUGUCGUAACCUGGGUCCGUGAUCCGGUAUCAGGGACAGUGUCUGAUCGGGUAGUUUAACUGGGCGGUUGCCUCCUAAAGAGUAACGGAGGCGUCCCAAAGGUUCCCUCAGGCCUGGUUGGCAAUCAGGUGUUGAGUGUAAGUGCACAAGGGAGCUUGACUGUGAGACCGACGGGUCGAGCAGGGACGAAAGUCGGGACUAGUGA